rnacentral:rRNA from 1 species
ACGAACGCUGGCGGCAUGCCUAACACAUGCAAGUCGAGCGCCUGUAGCAAUACAGGAGCGGCGCACGGGUGAGUAACGCGUGGGAACCUGCCCUUAGGUUCGGAACAACCGCGGGAAACUGCGGCUGAUACCGGAUGAUGUCUUCGGACCAAAGAUUUAUCGCCAUAUGGAGGGGUCUGCGUCGGAUUAGCUUGUUGGUGGGGUAACGGCCUACCAAGGCGACGAUCCGUAGCUGGUCUGAGAGGAUGAUCAGCCACACUGGGACUGAGACACGGCCCAGACUCCUACGGGAGGCAGCAGUGGGGAAUAUUGCGCAAUGGGGGAAACCCUGACGCAGCGACGCCGCGUGGGUGAAGAAGGCCUUAGGGUUGUAAAGCCCUUUCAGUGGGAAAGAUUGUGACGGUACCCACAGAAGAAGCUCCGGCUAACUCCGU